ensembl:lincRNA Gm10822 predicted gene 10822
GAGGAGCGAGCAGGAGGGCGUGGGCGGUGUGAGAGAAGAAAGGGACCUUCUUACCUUGGACACGACCUGUAGGAUCAACUGUCAAUCAAAUCCUCUAGCUCUUUACAUGUAGAGCAUCAAUGCUUCUCAAGAAUGAACAUUCUAAGCACUGCUCCUGCCUGAGACUACAUCCCUGGAGAAACUCCCUGUGGGCCAAGUGGACCAUGCCAUGGGUCAGAAGAAUUAGUAGAGUUGAGUGAGCUCAAACUCCGUAAACCUCAGAGUUGAGAAUGGUAGGAGUGGGGCCAAACCCCUGCCUAACUCUACGUGCCCUGAAUCAUGAUGCCCCACUGAGUACCAUGGCAAUCAGUCAAGUAGCAUACAGACCUGGAGUUCUCCAUGCUAAUAAGGUUAUCUAGGUAGAUCCCGAGCGUUCCACCAGUGAGCUUUCCUUUUUGGCCAUUCUUUCCCACAAAAGGUAUUUAAUCCUUGGUUCACCCUGAGUAAGGUGUAUGCAUUACAUCCAUCAAAUAAAGGUUUGGACAAGCAAGGAUGGUCUCUUCUUCAAGGAUUCCAGAUAAGGCCUUCUCUCUUCCAACCUCUCUGCACACUUGGCAAUCACUCAGCAUCAAACAUGGUUCUACCCCCGUCCCAGGCUCUUCCAUCCCUUCCUGCCUGGCAUGUGGAUGCUCUGAGGGAAGCAUGGGCCGAGGACCCCAUUCCCAACUCCAGGUGCUUUACUUGGAAAGCAUCAAGGCUUCUCAAGAAAGAACAUUCUAGGCACUGCUGCUGGCUGAGACGACAAUUCCUGGAUAGACAACCAGCAGCGCCUGGGUACACAACAAUCAGCCAGACUCUGCUGCUUCCCACCCAGGAAAACACAGACUGGGAGCCCCCAUUAUGGACUGUGUUGUCUCCCUUACGUGGUGGGCUGGUGGCUCCAAGCACUCUGGCAGCAAGGCAGACACGCAGCCUAGCAACUACCUGAUAAGACUCCUGUACGAAAGCAUACUGCAUAGGUUAUGAUUUUAUGCUUUAUUUUUUUAAGACGAGGUCUCUAGUGGUUUGAAUGAAAAUGGCCUCCAUGGGCUCACAGGGAGUAGCAUUAUUAGAAGGUGUGGUCUUGUUGGAAGAACUAUCUCUAGGCGAUCGGCUUUCAGGUUUCAGAUGCUCAAGCCAGACCCAGUGUCAUUCUCUUUUCUUGCUGCCUGUUAACCCAGAUGUAGAACUCUUAACUACCUUUCCAGCACAUUUCUACAUACAUGCCAUCCUGUUUCCUGCCAUGAUGACAAUAGACUAAACUGUGAGCCAACCCCAAUUAAAUGUGUCCAUUACAAGAGUUGCUAUGGUCACGGUGUCUCUUCACAGCCAUAGGUGCCCCAACUAAGACACACACUCUCUCUAUAGCUCUGGUUGUUCUAGAACUCAUUAUCUAUACUAGACUAGCCUCAGACCUAGAUAUUUGUCUGUUUCUUCCAAGUGCUGGGAUUAAAGGUGUACACUACCAGGCCCAUUAAGUUAGAUUCUUUUUCCCAAUAAAAUAAGUGUAGAGAUAUAGCAUGCAAUGUAACAAACUCGCUAUUUUUAUAUAAUUUCAGAAAGCUUGAGAGUAGCAGAUACUUUAGGUAUCUCUUGAGAGAUGGGAAAAUUUGCCAAUUCUCUGCUAAAUACAAGACUUGAGGGAAUAAUAUUGAGUUGUCCAGAAGCCAAGAGACCCAGCCAAUCUUAUGUAGCUGCUUAAGGAUGCAGUUCUUGGGACUGAAAUGCAAGAAAUGGAAUCACUAUGGCUGGAAAGUGCAUAUUUAUGCCACUGUUGAAAAUUAGCUGUGGCCAAGGCCUAUAGGUUCCCUUGGGAGUCUCUGCCAACAUCAGCAGAAUGCUAGCUCUUGCUAACAGGAAGAACAAACAAAAGUCUUUGGUUUAUGAGUCUCUCUUGAUCUUAGGUCAUUUUUUUUUUUCAGUAUUGAAACUCCCUGGAGGGGAAAAAAAGAGUCUAAGUUACUAAAUAUCUCAGAGGAGAUAACAUUUAUUUAUGAGAUUCAGGUGGGAAAAAAAUAUCAGUUUCUGCCAGGCAGCAGAUUAGGAAGUAUAAACAGAUUAAUAGUCGAAAGAAUGUAACCUAGAGAGAUAGGGUUACAAAAUUUACAAAACUGAGUUGAACAGCAGACUCAGCCAACCUGUGUACCUCUCUAUAGAGUUCUAAGUAAAGUGUAAGUGAAAUGGCUACAAAGUUGAAAGUGAAAUAUUAGAGUAUGUUUCUCACUGAUAUUAAAUCUGUGGUUCUCUACAUUUUUUUGGUUUGAUGUCUUUGAACACCAAAUAAUACACAACAUAAAUAAAAGUUUU